UACGGAGGGUGCAAGCGUUAUCCGGAUUCACUGGGUUUAAAGGGUCCGUAGGCGGCCCUGUAAGUCAGUGGUGAAAUCUUUCGGCUCAACCGGAAAAUUGCCAUUGAUACUGCAGGGCUUGAAUUAUUGGGAAGUAACUAGAAUAUGUAGUGUAGCGGUGAAAUGCUUAGAGAUUACAUGGAAUACCGAUUGCGAAGGCAGGUUACUAUCAAUUAAUUGACGCUGAUGGACGAAAGCGUGGGGAGCGAACAGG
rnacentral:rRNA from 1 species